rnacentral:rRNA from 1 species
UACAGAGGAUGCAAGCGUUAUCCGGAAUGAUUGGGCGUAAAGUACGUCUGUAGGUGGCUUUUAAGUCCGCCGUCAAAUCCCAGGGCUACAACUCUGGACAGACGGUGGAAACUACCAAGCUGGAGUACGGUAGGGGCAGAGGGAAUUUCCGGUGGAGCGGUGAAAUGCGUAGAGAUCGGAAAGAACACCAACGGCGGAAAGCAACUCUGCUGGGCCGACACUGACACUGAGAGACGAAAGCUAGGGGAGCGAAUGGG